GCAGAGUAGGAAAGCGCGUGUUCAAGUGCCGACGGAACGGGGAGUUGUCCGCCGGAGGAAAGGUGACCGGGUCACCUGCAUUGCGUUUUCCGCAUCCCGCUGC
rnacentral:ncRNA from 1 species